NNNAAUUGAUGAANAUGGACAUGGGACUCACACNGCNAGCACNGCNGCUGGUGCUUUNGUUGAUAAUGCANAAGUACUAGGAAAUGCCAAAGGCACAGCAGCAGGGAUUGCCCCUCAUGCUCACCUGGCAAUNUACAAAGUAUGUUUNGGANAAGACUGCCCAGAANGCAGUGUAUUGGCCGCAUUNGAUGCAGCNGUGGAGGAUGGCGUNGAUGUAAUAUCAAUAUCCCUUGGCCUANGUNNNNCANNUCCCUUUUUUUAUGAUAGCAUUGCAAUAGGNACNUUUGCAGCAAUGCAGAAGGGAAUCUUUNUAAGUUGUNCAGCGGGGAANUCUGGCCCUUUCCCUGGCUCCUUGNUNAAUGGAGCCCCUUGGAUCCUCACAGUUGGAGCAAGCAAUGUUGACAGAAGUAUUGUAGCAACAGCANAGCUAGGAAACGGGCAAGAAUUUGACGGCGAAUCUNUUUUCCAGNCUUCCNAUUAUACUCCAACACUGCUACCNUUAGCNUAUGCNGGUAAUAAUGGCAAACCUNAAGCUGCACUUUGUGCUAGGGGAUCCCUGNACUAUAUUGAUUUCAGCGGCAAGGUNGUUUUGUGUGAGAGAGGAGGGGAUACAGGAAGAAUUUNCAAAGGGGAGGAAGUAAAGAGAGUUGGUGGUGCAGCCAUGAUUAUCAUGAAUGAUNAAAGCAAUGGCUUCAGUCUCUNAGCUGAUGUACAUGUUCUACCUGCNACACAUGUAAGCUAUGAUGCUGGACUUAAGAUUAUAGCCUACAUAAAUUCAACUGAAACACCUACAGCUACCAUUUUAUUCAAGGGAACUGUAAUAGGAAACUCCCUAUCUCCGGCCGUUUCAUCCUUCUCCUCAAGAGGUCCCAACUUGCCCAGUCCUGGUAUUUUGAAACCAGACAUCAUAGGACCAGGCGUCAACAUCCUAGCUGCCUGGCCAUUCCCCCUUAACAACAAUACUGAUUCAAAAUCCACUUUCAACAUCCUUUCUGGCACAUCAAUGUCAUGCCCACAUCUUAGUGGCGUAGCCGCUUUGCUCAANAGCUCUCAUCCUGACUGGUCACCAGCUGCCAUAAAAUCUGCCAUAAUGACUUCUGCAGACAUAACCAAUUCUGAUCAGAAACUCAUUGUUGACGAAACACUUCAACCUGCCGAUAUCUUUGCCACAGGUUCUGGCCACGUGAAUCCAUCUAGAGCAAAUGACCCCGGGCUAGUUUAUGAUAUCACNCCAGAUGAUUAUAUACCUUAUCUCUGNGGUUUAGGCUACGGAGAUACGGAGGUUGGUAUCAUUGCGCAUAAAACGAUUAUGUGCUCUGGGAUUUCAAGCAUUCCCGAAGGAGAGCUCAACUAUCCCUCAUUUUCUGUGGUGCUUGGUUCCCCAAAAACAUUNACAAGGACUGUAACAAAUGUAGGUGAGGCCAACUCGUCUUAUGUUGUCNAGGUUACAGCGCCAGAAGGGGUCAAUGUGAAGGUCCAGCCAGAUAAACUGAACUUUUCAGAAGCAAACCAGAAAGAGGCAUAUUCAGUGUCAUUCAGCCGUAUAGAGUCGGGNAAUGAAACUGCGGAAUAUGCUCAAGGGUUUUUACAAUGGGUCUCUGCCAAACACACUGUAAGGAGUCCGAUCUUAGUCAUCUUUGGUUAAGACAACAUUAGCUAGCAUCGAGCAGAAUUACAAUGGGACCACCUACAACUGAGAUAUCUUAUAAUAAACUUAAAUUUAGGAAUCAUGUUUUAUAUUUAUGGUCAUCAUAGUACACUUUUUAUAAUAACUGAACACAAAGUUAUGGUCAUCAUAGUACAGUUUUUAUAAUAAUUGAACACAGUUAUAUUUAUAGUCAUCAGAGCACUAUGGGGCUCGAUCUUAGCUUUCGUUUUCCUUUCUUUUUCUUAUAUAAAGAACAAUGUGAAGAGAGAAAGUAGAUAGAUACCUACGAACCACCAUAGAGUCAUCAUUCAAUCAUUCAACCGUUCAUUUUCUUUUCUUUUCUCACUAGGAAUAUGAUAGGAUAGAAGUGGUGAGCUGUAAAGAGUUUGAACACGGUUGGCAAAAAGAGUUCGAACACGGUUGGCAAAAAGAGUUCUUCAGCCCUUGAGUGCAAAGUAAGCAUAGGACGAGUCUUGAAUCUGCUGUGUGAGGCUAGUAUAGCGCUAUAGGUUCUUGUGAGUACAAAGUUACCUCGUGAACCUGUAAUGAACCUUCUUGUACAAUCUUCUUUCUGAAUGCAAUGCAGUUGGUUAUUUCUGCCAUUAUCUGUUUUCGAUUAUGAAAUUUACCUUUGUCUUUUAAAUUCAGUUCUUUUACUUUUCAUGCACCAGUUAUAUCUUUCUUGCGUUAUGGUAUUAUCUUUGUUACAAUCUUCUGUUUGUUUUUCUUUGUAUGUGUCUACAUAAGUCUGCAUCUUGGUUUGAAAAGGGUGUAGGCGGAAACUGGUUCUUUUAAAAAAAAAUUGUUACUGUAAUUUGAAUGCUUAGUUUCUAGUUUCUGGGUUGGCAUUGUAGCAUUUAGUGAUCAGAACUUGUAAGUUUCUCUUCAGAAUUGAACCUCAAGAUGUUUGUGUAAUUGAACAAGAAUUUGCAUUAUUUCAGUUUCUUAAACAGAGGCUAUAAAACCCAGAGUGGGCUUGUUUUGUCCAAGAAGUCUUCUUGAAGCAAAUUCAUAUUCAAUUAACCAAAUAAAUUGAGCAUUCAGUCCUAAGUUUUGUGAUUUUUCUAGUAUCUGAUGUUGUGGGUUCUCUUUUAAGUUUGAAUACAUUUCUUUUAAUUUCUGCCUUUAACAAUUGUCUGUGAUUAUAAGUAGAAUCUUUUCUUAGUUUAAAACUAAUUCAUCUUGCAUUUGCACCUUGCCUGAAUAAUUUUUCUGCAUCAUGUUCUACUUCUGCAUUAAGUUUCCAUACUCUCUGCAUUGAUCUUACUUCCUGUUCCAGUGUUGUGCAUAAUAGUUGACACCCAAUUGGCUAUUUUAAGUUAUGCAUUUGCUUUCUCUACAUUACCAUUUAUAAGCAUAAUUUCAGAUUUAUAUUACUGUCAUGGUGUGCUUGAUGUCAUUUAGUUUCUGAUUAGGCAAAUGCUCAUUUUUUGCAUUUAGUCAAUUACUCAUCCGCUUGGAAAUAGAUCCUUUUCAUUUGUUUAGGUCAUUACAAUUGCAUUAGCAUCCUAGGAUCUCAGGUUCUAUUUUUAAACUAAAAAAAGUGCACAAAAACAUGUCAUGUCUGUCACAUAGGACUCUCAAUUACGUAAUUUUCCAGUUUCAUGCAUAAUCUGUAACACCUACUUAGAGUUCUUACAUACUUUGCAUCCUCUUUACCAAUUUAAUAUUGUUAGAUUCAUUCCAUUGCAUUCCUUGCAUCGGUUUUCAUCAAUUAGACCAUAUGAUCAAUUCACAUGCAUACACCAGGUUCAUUUAGAUAGGAUCAUGCAUUUUUUUUUUAUAUAGCCAUUAGAUAUUCUCUUAAACUCAUUUUUUAUACUAUUUUUAGCAAGGUCAAUUACAUAAUUUAUAGCUUAACAUGUACCACUUCCUUGGAUUGAUAUUGUCUUAUGCAACGUUAGAGGGAUUUCUUAGAUUUUGUUCUAAAAGGCUGUUUUACAAAUGGCGGAUUGUUGUAGACUUAAGUUGUAGUUGUAUAGUUAGCCUUGCAUUCAAUUUUUUUUUUUCAUUUUGUUUUUCUUGCAUCUUUUGAAGAAAAAAAAAAUUGAAAUAUGUAAAUAUGUGGUUUUUUCAAUUUUAUAUUUCUUUAUGGUAUAAUCUCUCUAUUUGAGCAUAUGGCUAGUUGGCAAAUGUUAACUCAUUAACAAGCAUACCAAAUUGUUUAAGUAGUAAAUCGAUAAGACUGAAUAUCGUUUCCCAAAAUAUUCGUCUAAUACUAAAUAAUCAUACAAUUAAUAACUAAUCUAGACUAAAGAAUAAUUCAAUGUGCAAAUAAAGUAAAAUGAUGUAUAAGCAGGAAAGAUGAACUUUGGAGGUUAAGACACAUGGAAAUGGGAAAAGGUUAGUAAUGAUAUUGAUUGAUAUUGUUGGGGGUUAGAUUUCAUUGAUUUCACUCUCAUGCAUAUAAGAACUCAUCUCCUCUUCAUCAAUAUAUAAUGUCAAACCACAAGAAUACGCACACCAUAAUCCCUUAGUAGAAUGAGCCUAAGUUUUCUUAUUAAGAGUCAAUCACUCGAACUCUUAAUAAACAAACCUGUCUUUAGAACUAGAGUUUAAGACAACUAAUGAGUUAAGCUUUAUCCCUAAAUACAAGCUUCAUUAGGUACAUUGUUCCAAGUAUAGGUUUCAAAAGAUACUUCAUAAUACCUAAUGAACUAUGAAUUAAGUUAUGAAUGACCACAUUACAAUAAGCAUUAAGAACAAAAGCAAAAAUAUUAGCAUUUAAUGGAAGAGACAUAACUAUAUUUAAAGCAUUUACAAAAUACAAGAGACUUCAGUGACUACAUCUACUCCCAAUAAAAUGGGUUUAGUUCUCCAUUAUCAUGGAAAGACUAAGCUUAUAAAAUAGAAAAUGGAAGGAGAAGAAGAUAUAAAGAGGAAAAAGAUGUUGUUCCCACAAGCCCUUAACAAUCCUCCAAGCGCUCCCAAAAUGUGUUUUCAUGCCUCAAACAACAAAAGACCCAAUUCUCUCUUUGAGAAAUGAGAAGAAAUAGGCACAACUUGCAACAUUAAGAUAGGUUUUGCUCAAAACUUGGUUUAUGCCAUUCAACGCUGCAUGCAGGAUUGCCCAGGUUUGCUCUUUGAAAUACUCGCACUCAAUAGAGGUUAAGGGGUGCUCAAUUGUGGCUGAUGUCUUUGCUAUUUGGAAAGUGCUCACUCAGCAACAAGGAGGUGGCAACAACGUCAUCUAAACUUCAAGAAUUCUCAUUUAUGUAAUUAAAUAAUUAUAAAUAUAAACAAACUUAAUCUUGUUAAAAAUAUUUAAUAAAAAUAUCAAUUUUAAUAAAAAUAUGUGUAUAAUAUUUAUAUACAAAUUAAAUUUUAUUAUAAUUUAUGGAGAGAUAAAAUUAUUUAAUUUUAGAAAAAUUAAAAUUAAAUUGAGACAAAAUAAAAAUAUAAGAGUUAAAUUGAGACUACAAGGAUACGUGGCAUGACACUAACAUGUGACACUGUCACAUUACACUAUUAUUGUCGUGAGACAAAAUAUUAGUUUCACAUGACAAAUUUUUAUAUUUUUUAAAUAUAAAAAUAAAAAAGUAAAAAAUAAAAUAGAAUAUUUAAAAAAAAAAAUCACACAUGAUACCUUAUUUAUUUAAGUGUGUUAAUACUAUAGAAAGAACAUUGUUUCAAUUUAAAAAAAAAAAACAAUUAAAACAAAAAAUUUGAGAAACCAAUUUACAACUUAAAAAAAACGAAAACCACUGAUUAAACCUAAGAGUAAAAGUUAACUAACCUAUAAAUGGCAAAUAUUAAUGUUUCUCCCUUUUUCAACAACUAGUUUCAGUGUGCAUUAAAACAUUCAUCACAUUAACAUGCAUGUGUAAGUGUAAGUGAUCUAGCAAGACAAGGCAAUACAAUUAUAUAACAUAGCAGAAACGUAUAUAAUAGAUGUAGAGAAAAGCGUAUAUAUUGUUAUGAAAUGGUAGAACAACUUAAAAAUGAAUAAUUUUUCUACUCAUUACUGAAUUCCAAGACUCGUUGAAGUUAUAAGAGAGUUUAAUAUUCAUAUAUUAAUAUUAAAAACGAUCUUUCCAUAAUUGAAUUGAGUUGUGGAAUUCUUAUUUUAUAUAUUAGUAAUAAUUAUUCUAGUAACCUACCCAAACAUAUUAAUCAAGAGGCAAAAUUAAGAAAUUAUUCCCUGUUUGUCUUCUAGGUGUCUUUUAGGUUUGGAAAGGUGCUUCUAAAGAAUCAUUUCAAUAAAAUUAUAUGCACAAAAUAAUGUAAAAUUAUAAAAAUAUUUGACUAACCUCACUACCCCUAAUUAUGAAUAAAUUUAUGUAAGUCCUAUUGAAUAGAGAGCAAAUAUAUUUUUAUGAGACAUGAAAGGAAAUUCGUUUAAUAUUUUACAUUCAUUUAACAUUAUUUCUUUUUUCUUCUUUAAAAAUAUAAAAAUUUAUUCAAGACCAUACGUAAAAAGUAAAUGUGUUUAAACAAGACCAACAGCUCUUUACCAUAGCGUUGAGCUAUGCAGUUUAUGCCCAUUUACUCAUAACAAAAGGUUGCACUUUCAGAAUUCCUCAACAAAACUAAGAGUUAACGACAAAAAUAAAUAAUUGAAUUUGAACGGCCAAGCUCAUUAUAUUAUAUGGGUAACACUACUAUAACUAAACAAUAUGCCUCCUUUGUUUUGUACAAGAUCUAUUACCUAUUAUACGUGUGUUCAAAGCACACUCAACUAAAGAACCUUUGUUUAUUCNAAACACACUGUAAGGAGUCCUAUCUUAGUCAUCUUUGUGUAAGAUAGACAACAUUAGCUAGCAUCGAGCAGAAUUACAAUGGGACCACCUACAACAGGGAUAUCUUAUAGUAAACUUAUAUUUAAGAAUUGUGUUUUUAUAUUUAAGAGAUUUUAUAUUUAUGGUCAUCAUAAAUUCAUAAUACAGUUUUUAUAAUAAUUAAAAAUAGAUUAAAUCAUUUUUGAGGUUUUUAUUUUUUUAUUUUUUGUUUUUGUUUUAAAUUGAUCUUUCACUUAAUUUUAUUCUUAUUUGAUUUCUAUGGGUGAAAAGUUGAUGUAAUUGAAUUUUGUCUUAAAUUUGUUGAAUUAAGUUAAAAGUACAAUGAUGUUCCACAUUGAUACGUCGACAGUGACUUUUUUAAACACUGGCAAAAUAGAGUGGAAUUUCUUAUUUUUGAAAAAAAAAAGAUAGGGAAAUUUUCAUUGAAACUGUUCAUUCUUCUUCUUUGUACAUAACUUUGUAAAACUUAGACUUUUUAAAUUUUUCUUUUAUGCUUCUGAAAGAUACAUGUUCACGGGUACGCUGAAUCUUUUGUCUUUCAUAUAUAUCGUGAGUUUCAGACAUAACCAAACAAUUAGGAAAUUUCAAUUUCUAUGUAAAAUAAAAUUCAAAAUCCUCCAUUGAUAUCUAAAUUUUAGUGGUGUGUCUAAGCAGAAGAAUUUAAAUUGGAUAACUGUUAAAAGACAUGUUUGGCUACUUGUAGAGAUAAUACGAAAGAAACUUACCUUUAAUGUUCAUAGCUACUUAUAGGAAUUUCCUUUCGGUGCUUGAAUUUGUAAGAUUACUGAAAUCAGAAUAACUAUUAUAGACUCCAAUUACCUAAGAUAUUGUGUAUAUUAUCCUCUCCGCUCGUGUGUAAAAGAAUCAGUUCUCCUCAACUUCAACAUUUCCCAAUUACGUCACCUCAAGAUCACCUGGAUCUAGAUCUACUGAAGAGAUCUUUUAUUCUGCAUAAUAAUGCUUCAUAUAAACACUUUCUGUUACUGCAUAAAUUAUGUCUACUUUGUAGGCACUUUUAUUUUUUAGCCGUUAUUUAUUCUGUUACAUGAGUGUUAUUUAAUAGCCUCUUUAAUUUAAUAAACGUACUCAGUUGGCAAAAGUAGCAUUAUAUGAUAAACAUAAUUUUCAGAAUAAUUUGUCUGUUAACAUCCAUUUUUAGAAUUUGAUUGAUGGAGAAUGAUAACAAUGCAAUAAAAUUGAAAUCUCAAACGAAAAAAAAAAAGAUAUAUUCAAAAUAAAAUAUAAUAUUUUAUUUAAAGAAGAAUGUGAACUUGGAAUAUUUUGAUCAACAAGUUGAAAUAAAAUUUAGAUAAACACAAACGUGACAUAGAAAAAAAAAAACAUUACAUCAUAUUAAUAUGAACCAAUAAUAAAUUCAAAAUUAAAACAAAGAAGUUAUAUAAAAUUGAACUCCUUAAAAAAUUAUAACAAUAUAAUUUGAACUAAAAUUACAAAAAACGUUAUAUAAAUUAACAAUGUGAUAUUAUUAAUGAGAAAAAAAAAUUAAAACUAUCACACAUGAAUAAAUAGAGAUAAAUUUUUGUUUCAAUAUAUAUAUAUAUAUAUAUAUAUAUAUAUAUAUAUAUAUAUAUAUAUAUAUAUAUAUAUAUAAAUUAUCCUCGUAAAGAAUGAAGCGCAAAUAAUUGAACCCAGCCUUAUGAUUUCAAAAUUUAUGAAUUAUUUUAUGACUCAACCCAUAUAUAAACAUUGUUAUGUGUAGCAUAACACUAAGUUUUCCAUUUAAUAUUAAAAAACUUUUUAGUGUUAUUUGAGAAGGAUCAUUCUCCAAAAGUCUAAUUACUUUCAAUCUUAUCUUCAAAAUCUUUUUCAACAAACUUGUUUUAUACUUUGUCAAAAUUCUUACAGGAAAUAUUUCCUUUCUCAAUCUCAUCAAACAAAUAGAUUGCUCUGAUUAGUCAUUUUUUUCCAUUUGAAAAUGUCUAUUUCAUAACUUUUGUCAUGAAAACUCUUUUUUGUUUCUUUUGGCACUUUCAACAGUCUUGAUUUAUUAUCCUCAAAAUUGUAUGACAUGAUGUAGAGUCUAAAAUAAGAGUUGUUUCUUGUUAAAUAAUGAAAACGAACUUAUAGUGAAUAACUUCUAUGUGAUGCAUAAAUAUAUCAAAUCUUAAAUUUCUACCACCAGUGAAAAAUCUUUCUUUUGCUUUCCACACUCCCUCUUUACACACUUUGGAGUUAAAAUCUGAACACCACUCAUCUAAAUUAUCAAUAAGGUGAUACAUCAUAAUAUUACAAUCAAAAUCACAUACAAAAUCAAUCUUAUGAUAAUAAAAACUAUUAUUUUGAAAGUGCUCAUGAGUUAGAAUAGGUAAGUAAGAUUAUGUUGUUGGGUUGAUAAUAAAAAUGUUUACUUCAUUCUCACUUGCCAUAGAACAGAUAACCAAGUCAUUACUUGAACAUAAAAUCUUGAUGCUCUUAGAAAAAUAUGUUAGAACAUUUUUAAACACUCCUCAUGAUGAUUCUUCUCCAAACAAGGGAUAAAAUUCAAUUGGAAGAUUGCACCAUCCACUUGCAUAAAUGGACAUUCCUCGCUGAAUGAAAAAACCAGUGUCCUCACUUAAGAAUGCAUGUUAAGCUUCCUUGAAUGCAAAAUAAAUUUAUUUUAGAAACUUUAAAAGUAUAAACAUAAAUUUAUAUAUGACUUUUGCAUGUAAUCUAGAGAAUAUCUCAAAGAAGUUAUCACAAAACAAAUUCAUUAUGAAAAAAAUUAUCCGAUCACACAAAAAAAUUCUCCCAAUGUAUGAAAGAAGAAUGGAGAAAACAAAAGAAAAAUGCAAAUAUCCCUCUUGAAAAUUUGAUUUGUAUAACAAUUUUGUUUAUUUUAAAUAUUCCUAAUCUUUUAUCUUCAACCUAUUUAAAUUUCAAUAAUAUAUAUAUAUAUAUAUAUAUAUAUAUAUAUAUAUAUAUAUAUUUAAAGUUAUAAUAUCUCUAAUAUUUUAUGUGAAAUCGUAGUAUAUUUUCUUCUAGUUAUGCAUUUGUAUAUAAAAAAUUGUGUAUAUUUUUCCAGUAUCAUUUGUUGCUAAAUAGAUAAAUAAUAACAAUAAAUAAAUGAAAACAAUGUUAUAAAAACAUCAAUAAUAAAAUAAAAAUAAUGAUACUAAAUAAACAUGAAGUUACCAUACCUUACUAAUAUAAUAAUAAUAAUAAUAAUAAUAAUAAUAAUAAUAAUAAAGAAUACAAAUAUAUGAAUAAUAAGAGUUAAAAUAUUAUAAAAUAUCACUUGAAAUAAAUUUAAUUAAGUCAUAAGAUUUAAUCUUCAAAUAUUUUCCUAUUUAUAAUAAUAAUUCUUAUUUAUAGUUAAAGUUCAAUCUCCAUUAAAAUAAAAUGUAUUUGUCAAUUUUUCCUCAAAUAGUUUUACACACACUAAUCAAAGAUUUUGUUCUUGUUACAAUACGUUUUAAAUAUAUGAAAUCACUCUUAGAAAAUUUAAUUGAAUUGAAAUACUUCAGAAGUUUAAAAGAUAAAAAAAAAUAUCCAAUAUAUUAAUUUUAAAAAAUUUAAAAUCAUGUUAAUUUGAUAUUAGUAGUGUUUCCUAUUCUAAUGGAAAUAAUAUUAAAUAAUAUUUUUAUCAUAUUUGUAAUUAUUUUCAUGACAAAAAUAAAACUCAAUAAUCAACCCGAAUGUAAAACUUUUGAGCUGUGAAAUAAAUGUCGAAAAUAAAUUAAAAAAAAAAAAUUAAUCGAAGAAUCCAUAUUUUUUAAGUAAAUCGUGAACACAUGAUAACUUUUGUUAAGAUAAAUAUAUAUAUUCAAAGUAAUUUUGUUUAUUAUAAUCAUUACUUCUAUUUAUCAAGGAAACCUUUCAAAAUAAAAAAUAAUUAUAUAUAUAUAUAUAUAUAUAUAUAUAUAUAAACAAUGUUAUUUAUUAUAUUAUAAAUAUAUUAUUUAUAUUGUUGAUAGCAUGUAAUAUAAUCUAUUAAUAAAGUAUUUUAAGACUAUUUAAGAUCUAUUUUUAGAAUUUGAUUGAUGGACCACAAUUGAAAUCUUAAACGCAAAAUAAAAGAUGUAUUCAAAACAAAAGAUAAUAUUUUAUUUAAAGAAGAAUGUGAACUUUGAAAAUUGUUGUGAACAAUUUUUACGAAUUGAAUUUGAAAUAAAAUUCAAAUAAAAUAUAUUUAUUAAUUAUCAUAAAUCCAAAAAACACUACAUCAUAUCAAUAUGAACUAAGAAUAGAAAUUAAAACAAUAAAAGUUUUACAAUAUAGAACUUCUUAGAAGAAUUAUAACAAUAUAAUUUGAAUUACAAUAACAAAAAAAGUUAUACAAAUUAACAAAGUAAAAUUAUUAAUGAGAAAAAAAUUAAAAUAAUUAUAAUUAGAAAUACUAAUUAUAUAUAACAGAAUAUCUGUAAUAGUUAAUUAGCAUACUAAUAAGCUGAACAUAAAAAACUAUAAUUAAUUACACAUAACAUUUGUAAUAUUUAAAAUAUUUAAAUAUUAUAUAAACACCGUCAAAAUAGUUACUAUAUUUAAGAUUAUAUAAAUACAAGAUUCAUGAUCUAUAUAAAUCCGAUAAAAAAGAAUAGCCAAGUUUAAAAAUAUAUUCAGAAUUAAAAAUAAAGGAAAAAGUCAAACACGCAUUCCUUUAAUUUAGGCUAUGAUUAACAAUCAAAUUCAGAAAACAGGGUCCAUUCAUCUUACCUAAACAAAUUUUAGUGUUAGAGAAAUAUCGCGUUUGUUUAUAGUGUGUGUUCCGUGUAUGGUGCAAAAAUGGUUAUGUAAUUUUGUAUUAUUAUUAUUUUUUUGUUUUUAUAUUCUUUUAAUUAUAUAUAAUUAAAAAUUUUCUCUCCAUAUAUAUAUAUAUAUAUAUAUAUGGGGUUUGCUAACUUGGGUACGCCUGUUUUUCAGUUGGUACAUUUUAGCAAUGUGUACCGGGUUUCAGUAGACAAAAAUACCCUUAUAUCAUGAAUUCUAAGUUUUAAGGUUAAGGGUAUUUUAAUAAUUUUCAUUCUCAAAAUUAAAAAAAUAAAAAAAAAGAAACCCCCAAACCCUUACCCACCUCUCUCAUUCCUCUCAACCCUUUCUCUUUAAUCUCCAUACUCUCUCGCAGUCACACACAAGAACCCGCCAUACAGUAAUUUGUUGCUCUUACUCUGUUCGUUCAUUUGUUUUCCAUUUUAAUAACAAAAUAAUUGAUGAUGUUAAUGUUGAUUUUUUAUUUGAGGGUUGUCUUGUAUAUUUCCCCUUAUUAUUAUUACCAUUUUUAAAUUUUAGAAUCAAUAGUUUAUUUUGAGAAGAUUUGAUAUUUUAACUAUUAAGUUGUUCGAAAAUAUUACAUAUCGCAUAAAUAGAGAAACUACAUAUUUAUUCAUUUACAAAACAUACUAUUACUUUUUAAAUUGAUAACCAUUUUUUUAUUAUAAACCCUAAAUUUAAUUUUAUGCACGGUUACUCAUGUUAUAAGAAAAUAAAAAAAUAUUAGCAUUUGUGUGAGACUGAGAAGAAGGGUUGCAUUUUUUUUUAUCAUUCAAAGGACGAGAGGCUGAAUUUCUGGAAGGUUCAAGUGCGAAAGAGGUCGUGGAGCGUGGGAUUGGUAACUGCGUGGAUGAAGUUGUAAUGUUAAUAAACAAAUCCCAACACAGGUAUGAGAAAACAUAUUCUAUUCAAGUUUUAAUUUCUGAUAAAUUUGAAAAGUGUUUAAAUAGAAUACUUCAUAUUUUGUGUAUUCCACUUCUCAUUAUUGAAUAACAUGUCUGCAAAAUUGUUGGCACCAUAGCCGAGGUUUAGUUUGCGAGCAAUUUGUAUAUUUUGUAAAGAAAAUAUACCUAUAUAUAUAUGCUGCAUAGGAGUUAACUGUUUUUUAUCACAUAACUAUGAUUAAGAUUAUAAAUUAAGUAUAUUUAGUCCCUCUUGCUUUGCGUUACAAAAAUGUGUUCCCUUAGAAAUUGCUGAUAUUUUAUAAUUUUAUAACUUUUGCUUUUAAUAUUAAAUAUUAAGAAUAUUUAUGCGUUACUGAAUGAUAAAAAGAGAAAAUUAAAAAUUAUUCAUAUAUUGGUAAAAUGCAUGAUUAUGUUAGAAGUAUAUGGAAAAAGAGCAUAAGUUAAAUAAUUUGUAUAUUUAGUUAUAAUUUUUGUCUUAUCUAAUUUUAUUUAAUUUUCACAAGCAUAAUGACAUCCGAGAGAAUUGGUAAUUGGCAUGAAGGGUUUUUUAGAGAUGAUGAUUCAACAUCCGCAGAUGAUGAAAUUAGAGAAUUUAGUGAAGAUGAUGAAAUUGAAGAGAUCUUGAAUGAACCUUUGCUUGAAGGCGAAUAUGCCAAUGACUUAACUCUUUAUAAAGGAAAAUUGUUUAACAGCGACACCUAUGCUUACAAUUUUUAUUGUUUAUUUGCAAAGACUUAUGGUUUUUCAGUUAGACGUGGACAUAGUUAUAGAAGGAACAAGAAUAACAUUGAAGAAAUAUAUAAAAGAAAGUUUAUUUGUCACCGAGCAGGUGUUGCUAAACAAAAUAAAAUUAGUGAAGUAGAAAAACAAAGGAGACGAAAAAGUUCCAGGUGUAAUUGUAGUGCAAAAUUGUUGAUAUCUAAAAGAACAUUUGGCUUCGAGGAAAAAUGGAUGGUUACAUGUUUCGAAAACUCUCAUAAUCAUGUUUUAUUAGAUGAGAAAGAAAUUCGAUUUCUUCCAGCUUAUCGUGAUAUCCCUAUUAACGAUCAAGCUCGUAUAUUAUUAUUGUCAAAAGUUGGUUGCUCGGUAAGUCUCAUUAUGAGAGUGCUUGAAGCGGAGAAAGGGAUAGAGGCAGGACAUCUACCAUUUUUGGACAAAGAUAUUAGAAAUUUUAUUAAAUCUCAAAGUAGCAUUGAUAAAGAUAAUGACGCUUCAGAUGUUCUUAAAUUAUGCAAAGGUUUGAAAGACAAAGAUUAUGCUUUCCAAUAUGAUUUUACAUUGGAUGAAAAUAACAAGUCGGAACAUAUUAUUUGGGUAUUUGGUGAUUCGAUACGAGCAUAUGAAGCUUUUGGGGAUGUGGUUGUCUUUGAUACUACGUAUCGGAUUAAUCGUUAUGAUAUGCCUCUUGGAUUAUGGGUUGGAGUUGAUAAUCAUGGAAAUUCCAUUUUUUUUGGUUGUGUUCUAUUAAGGGAUGAGAAGAUACCUUCAUUCACAUGGGCUUUAAAGGUAAGUUAUAAUUAUUUGUUGUUAUUUUUGUUUCUUAAAUAUUAACUUUUGUAUUUUCAUAAUUUUUAUUAUUUGUUAUAUUUUUAGAGUUUUGUACGCUUUGUGAAAGGAAAAUGUCCACAAACAAUUCUAACUGAUCAAGAUCAUGCACUUAAAGAAGCUGUUUCAACAGAAUUGCCAAAUACAAAGCAUGUCUUUUGCAUAUGGCAUAUUGCGACAAAGUUGCCAACUUGGUUUUCUUUCCUUUUGGGUACAGAGUAUGAUGACUUCAAAACUGAGUUCUAUAGGCUAUAUAAUUUAGAAUGUGAAAGUGAUUUUGAACAACAAUGGGAUUUCAUGGUUGAACGCUUUCAUGUAAGUAAUAACACGUACAUUGAGGCAUUGUAUUCUCAUUGUCAAUUUUGGGCCUUAGCCUAUUUGAAAGAAUUCUUUUUCGCUGGGAUGACAACAACCGGACGUUCAGAAUCUAUAAAUUCAUAUAUUAAAAGAUUCUUGGAUGUUAAAACGAGUUUGGUGGACUUUGUGAAUCAAGUAAGAAUAUAUUAUUGUUUGGUGUUACAAGUGUUUUUUCUUCCUUUUUUAUAAUCAACUUAUAAGUUUUUCAUAUUUCCUUUUUUUAAGGUUGGAGUUGCUGUGAACAUUAGAAAUCAAGCUGGAGAAGAGGCAAGAAUGCGUCAAAAGUAUCAUAAUCCUCUAAUGAAAACGAUUUUUCCGAUUGAGGAACAUGCUGCAUCCAUACUCACACUAUAUGCCUUUGAGUUGCUUCAACAUGAGAUUGAGUUAUCUGCAAAAUAUGCAGCAACUGCGAUUGACAAUGACUCUUACUCGGUGCGACAUCAUACCAAACUUGAUGGAGGUCGUUCUGUAACUUGGAUAAAGGAAAAAAAUUCAAUUUAUUGUUCUUGUAAACAAUUUGAAUUUUCUGGAAUACUAUGUAGACAUGCUAUUCGAGUGUUGUUGAAGAAUGACUAUUUUAGCAUUCCAAAAGAAUAUCUUCCUUCUCGAUGGAGAAGAGAAAGCUCAUUGAUCCCACAAUCAAGACACAUAAUCAACUAUAAUGAUAACUCCUUUGUUGAGUUUCGAUCACUUGUGCAAUGUUUAGAGGUUGAAUCUUUAAAGACCAAAGAUCGAGUUGAAGUAGCUACUAAAGAGUUAAAGAAAGUCAUUCACUAUUUAAAAGGCAUGCCUGAAGUUCAAGAAAAUUCAAUUGAUCUAGAACGUGGUGUUCUAAAUGUUGAUGAGUGUGAUGUUGAAAAUCCUAUCACUUCUAAAACAAAAGGUCGACCAAGAGGAUCAAGGGCAAAAGGAGGAGUUGAAGUUGCAAAGAAGUCUCGUCAUUGUCAUUAUCCUAAUUGUGGUGGAACCGAUCAUGACUCACGAAAUUGUCCAAUCAAAAGGAAGAAAGACUCACUAUUAGCUUCUCAAUCAUCUCCUAAUAAGUAAUGCAUGAUUCUGUGGUAUUCUAAAGUUUCAUUGAUUUGUAAUAUGUAGGUGAUUGAUUGAAAGUGACAUGUAUUAGUUAUAUUUUCCUCUUAAUUAAACUUGUGAUAUUGGUUAUAUUAUGUGACUGUUGCACUGCUUGUUUUCACUGUUGAAGUUAAAUCAAUGUCUUUACAUCCUCUUUAAUUAACACAUUAUCACCCAUGACUCUAUCAAUUAGACACGUUAUCAUUGGGACAUUUAUCGGUCUUCUCCAACACAUGACUAAAUCAACUAUGAUCUCUCAUUGAGAGCGUUGUUCAAUAAUUGAUGAUAAUUUAUAUGUAUUGAUUGAUUGUCUGUGCUCAUUUUAAUUGUAACACAUAGCUCCUCUUCCAUUUGAAGUACCAAUUGCUGGUUGCUUUCAUCAAAAUAAAAGAGGACAAGUCACACCUCAUUGCAAAAUUAUUAAUAUGGUUUCCUUGUAAAAAACAAAACUGUCCCCCACAUUUAAUUGAAUUGUCAGAUUUAAAUUAGUUUUGAGUUAAGCAUGUCAUGUUAAAAAAAUAAAAAUAAAUAAAAAAUAAAGGAAAAACAAAGUGUGUCCAUAAAUAUAGAAAAAUUGAAAUUAGCAUACAACAAUGUAAACUUUGUUUCCAAUUUUAAGGCUACGUGUUAAUGCCUUUCAAUUUGUCUUUUCUUUUCUUCGGGUCUAAUAAAGUUUCAUACUUUCAUUUUUAAUAAUUUCAUUUUGAAGUUUAUCAGUUAUGCUUGGAGUAUCAAGAGAAAAUUUGAGAGAACCCGUGUAUACUAUGCAAGACAAUAGGUUUACAUAGUUUGGUAUAGUUGACAAACAAUUCUGAUUCAAAAAUUUACAUUGCAAUCAAAGUGCACAAGAAAUAGACAGAUUACUGAACACUUUUUCACAGUUGUUUGUUGUUCUAACAUUUAAUUAUUAUAUCUAAUUAUAUCUUUUAAAGUUACUGUAACCAUAAGUUUACACAGUGGACCACAUAUUACUCAACGAAGAUGGUCGUGAUAAUUUGAAUCAGAGAUAUUUUUUAAAAAUUGAAAAAGGUUACUCUUUUAUAAUCAUUUUAUAUUUAUUAAUGUGUGUAAAAUGAAUAUAAACUUUGUCACUUUAUGUUACUUUUUCUAAAUCUCAAAGGUAAAAAAUUAUUUUAUAGUUUUUUAUAUUGCACAGUGGUUAAAAUUUAUUCAGUGAUAAAAAAAGGGACAUAAGGAAAUUAAAAAAAUAGGUAUAGAAGAGCUCCCUAGGAGUAUUCUUACAUCAUGUAUUCUUACAAGACCCUCAAAUAAAAAAUCAACAUCAACAUCAUCAAUUAUUUUGUUAUUAAAGUGAAAAACAAAUCAACGAACAGAGCAAGAGUAAUUACUGUGUGGCGGGUUCUUAUGUGUGGCUGAGAGAGAGUAUGGAGAUUAGAGAGAAAAAAAUUGGAUAAGUGAGGAAGGUGGAUUAGGAUUUGACAAGUGUUUUUUAUUUUUUUUUCAAUUGGGGCUAGAGUAGGGAUGACAGAGAAAAGGUUGGAGUGGAAGAGAUGAAAGAGAAAGGGUUGAGAGGAAUGAGAGAGGUGGGUAAGGGUUUGGGGGUUUCUUUUUUUAUUUUUUUAAUUUUGAGAAUGAAAAUUAUUAAAAUACUCUUAACCUUAAAACUUAGAAUUCAUGAUAUAAGGGUAUUUUUGUCUACUGAAACCCGGUACACAUUGCUAAAAUGUACCAACUGAAAAACAGGCGUACGCUAAUUAGCAAACAUAUAUAUAUAUAUAUAUAUAUAUAUAUAUAUAUAUAUAUAUAUAUAUAUAUAUAGUCAUUGUGAUUAUUAGAUAAUUUGUUGCAUUAACUUAAUUAAUAAAACCAACCUAAUUAACUUGAUAUGUUUAAUUAGUUGGUUGGAAGAAUUUGUUUUCGGAUUCAUUGUAAAAUGCGAUAUUUAUAAACUCUUGUAAUUAGUUUUUGGUUCAUUUAUGGAUAAAAUACUUAGAGUAUUUUUAAAUUUAUUUUGAAGAACUUUGAUUUUUUUUUUAUGUUUUUAUUAUUUAAUUUAUUUUAGUAAUAUAUUGAUGUUUUUUAUUCUCUAAUUUACUUGUGCUGUUGUUCAAUUUAUUUUAGUAAUCUAAUUAUUUAUUUUUAAAAAAUUAAUUAUUUUUAUUCAAUUUCUUUUGUAUUGUGUUAUGUAAAAUGUUUAAUUUUGUUUAUAAAGUAAAUUAAAAAACCAGAUAAAGAAAAUUAAUAAAAGUUAAAUUAGAGGUAGGUAUUAUGUAUGCAUGCACAAAUACACGUAGAGGGAUCACUCAACAUAAUAUUUAAUAAAAUAAGACUAAGUUAAUAUUUUAAAUCAUAUCCUAAUUUUCUCAUUAUUUGUUAUAAUGUGUUAAUGUUAUUUAGAUUCAAGUAUGGUUUUAGUUGUUUAAUUUUGAUGUAAAAUUGAAAUUUAUUAUUAUACGAAAUUUUGAUAUUUUGAUUUCUAAAUUUUAAAAAUAAAUAAAUAUAGUUUUAUUUAAUUCAAUUAUAUAUAUUUUUUUUAUGUCUCAUAUACAUUUUUAAAUUAAAAAAAAUCAUUAAAUACAAUAAACAAUUCAAUUACUAGUAAAAAUCGUUUUAAAGUUUUGAGACUAAAAUCUACAAAAAUUUAAAAUAUAAACUAAUUUCAAUUUUAUUUCAAAAUUCAUUAGCUAAAAACUAUAUUAUGAUAAAAUUAUUAUAAAUACUCUACACUCGUAUAUAAGAUUUUUAUUAUUAGAAAAAAUUGAUACAAAUUUCCAUAAGUUCCUUUUGUUUAUUUAGAUUAUUUUAAUUUGUAUUAUUAUAAUAUAUAUAUAUAUAUAUAUAUAUAUUACUCCAUGAAAAUAUUUUAUAAUUAAGCUUUUUUUGAAAUUUAAUUAAAAAAUCACUUUGAUUUUUAAUUAAUCGAAUAAAUAAAUGUUAAUAUAUGAAUGUUAGAUAUAUCCUCUGAACAAACAUUUAUUGUUAACGAAACAUACUUCAAAUUUUAAAAGCCUCUCUGAAUGAGUAUAAUAUGAAGCUUUGAAUUAAUUCUGAAAUCCAUUUACAAUAAUGAUUUGUUUGUACAGAAAUUUAAAAAUGAUAAUUUUGCCGUUCUAAAGAUUUAGCGUAGAAUGUUUAAAAAUUACAGUAACAGUAACCUAAGAGACACCACAGCUUCUGUAAGCAAUGAGGAGUCUUCCUUGUCUCUCUCUUUUGUUGCUUCUAAACAAUAAUUUCAUCAACAAAUUUUAAAUUUCUCAAGUAUUGCAAAGUCCCAUUCUACUUGUCAUCGAUAAGAUUUUAGGAAGUGCUGUUAAAUAGAAACUGUUGCUGAAAUCGUUGCUAAAAGUCUAAUAAUCACCGUCGCUGAAAAUAGAGUGAUGGUAGCGACGGGUAUAAUAAGAUGCCGGUCAAGUUCACUAUAUUCCAACCAGAGACUGAUGCGCAAUUCUGGGACAAGAGCAAUAAUUUUUGUUUUUCCAAACUAAUAUUUUUAAAUAAAGGGUUAAAUAUGUUUUUAGUCCCUAUAUUUUGGGACGAUUUUGAUUUUAGUUCCUCUUUCAAACUAAGGUACAAUUUAGUCCAAAACUCUGGUUUUAGUCCUUUUUACCAAAUUUUUUUAACUUUAUUUGUUGUUUCAAGCACAUUUUAUUAUAGCAUUUGAAUUGUUUACAUUCUUUGACACAUUUUUGCUUCAAUGCUUAAAAAUAUUUGGUAAAAAUAACUACAACUAAAGUUUCCUAAAGUUGAAAGACUAAAUUAUACCUUAAUUUGAAAGAAUGACUAAAACCAAAAUCGCCCCAAAAUAUAAGAACUAAAAACAUAUUUAAUCCUUAAAUAAAUUUAUUUGAGUUUUAUUUUUUCAAAUAAUUUAUUGGAGUAUUAUUUCUCUAAAUGGAUCUAUUUGUUUUCUUUUUCCGCUCCAGAGUGAGGAGGACAAAUAAAAAGUUAAAAAUUAAAACUAAAAUUAUGAAAAAAUAAUUUAAAGUAAUUAAUUUAAAAUUUUAAUUUUAAUUUUAAUUAGUUUGAUGGAAGGAACAAAAUAUAAAACGUUUUAUGAUAUUUUAAUGUAAUUUAAAAUUAAAUUUGUUAUUAUUGAUUUUUUAAAAAUAAAAAUAUUAUAAUAAAAGUAUAUUUAUGAUCGAUAAUAAUAAUAAUAAUGAUUAUAAUAUCGUAAAAUUUUAAAAUAAUUUAUUUUUCUUUAAUUGUUUUACAAAUUAUUAUAAUAAUAAAAACAUUUAUUCCAAAUUAUAUUACAAAAUUAACAUCCUCAAAUUUUUUCAUAAAUAAUAUCUUUCUUAAAAGAAAUUCUUCAAACAGAUCAAAUAAAACAUUGUUGUUAUUGAUUUUUUGAAAAAUAAAAAUAUUGUAAUGUAAAAUAUUUAAGAUCAAUUAUAAUAAUGUUAUAUAUAUUUUUUUUAUUUCACAUUCAUCUUCAGUAUUCUCGGUAUUUUUAAUGAAAUAUUUUAAAUUACUUGCCUUUUAAAGAAGAAGAAGAAGUUUUCAUAUUAACACUACUGAUAUUCAUAAUACUUAAGUUCUUGAUCAAAUAUAGAAACAUAUAUUUAAAUGGUAUUAUUUCUCCAGUCAAAAUCCAAAAUAAAUAAAAAAAUAAAUAUAUUUUUUAUAUAAAAACAAAUUUUAAAUAACGUAAGUCGGUCAUGAUUCCGCCAUUACUACGUUACCAGGUCCUCGUAGCUUCAUUAUAUAUAUCAAUAGUUUGUUUAAACCACACCCAACCAAACAUCACAGUCUUUACCAUUCAUUCUUCUCCCUUCAGCAGAAAGCUUCUGCAGUUCUGCUCAACAUGGAUUCCUUCUUUCUCGUUGUUCUAACCUUUGUCUUCAGCUUCCAUAUUCAUUUUGCUCAAGCAAAUCAACAACCUUCAACCGCCACCACUUCAAAAACAUAUAUUAUCCAUGUGAAGGGCCCAAAGGGUACCACACUUGCUCAAUCAGAAGAUGUAGAGAGCUGGCAUAAUUCAUUCAUGCCACCAACUACUGCUAUGAGCUCAGAGGAUCAACCACGAAUGAUUUAUUCAUACCGGAACGUCAUCAGUGGCUUUGCUGCAACACUCACUGAACAAGAGCUGAGACAAGUGGAAAAAAAAGAUGGCUUUAUCUCUGCUCACCCCGAAAGGAUGCUGCAUCGUCAAACUACACAUACCCCACAAUUUUUGGGGUUGAAGCGACAAAUGGGACUGUGGAAGGAAUCAAGCUUUGGAAAGGGAGUAAUUGUUGGGGUGCUGGAUUCUGGAAUCACGCUUAAUCAUCCUUCAUUCAGUGAUGCAGGAAUGCCACCACCACCACCCAAAUGGAAAGGGAGAUGCGAGCUUAAUGGGACAGCAUGUAACAAUAAACUAAUUGGAGCAAGGUCUUUCAACCUCGCUUCAGAGACAACGAAAGAAGCAGUGACACCAAUUGAUGAANAUGGACAUGGGACUCACACUGCGAGCACNGCAGCUGGUGCUUUCGUUGAUAAUGCACAAGUACUAGGAAAUGCCAAAGGUACAGCNGCAGGNAUUGCCCCUCAUGCUCACCUGGCAAUUUACAAAGUAUGUUUUGGAGAAGACUGCCCAGAAAGCAGUGUAUUGGCCGCAUUGGAUGCAGCNGUGGAGGAUGGCGUNGAUGUAAUAUCAAUAUCCCUUGGNCUANNNNNNNCACNUCCCUUUUUNNAUGAUAGCANNGCAAUAGGNACNUUUGCAGCAAUGCAGAAGGGAAUCUUU
rnacentral:lncRNA from 1 species